rnacentral:rRNA from 1 species
AGUCGAGCGGUAACAGGAGAAGCUUGCUUCUCGCUGACGAGCGGCGGACGGGUGAGUAAUACUUAGGAAUCUACCUAGUAGUGGGGGAUAGCUCGGGGAAACUCGAAUUAAUACCGCAUACGACCUACGGGAGAAAGGGGGCAACUUGUUGCUCUCGCUAUUAGAUGAGCCUAAGUCGGAUUAGCUAGAUGGUGGGGUAAAGGCCUACCAUGGCGACGAUCUGUAGCUGGUCUGAGAGGAUGAUCAGCCACACCGGGACUGAGACACGGCCCGGACUCCUACGGGAGGCAGCAGUGGGGAAUAUUGGACAAUGGGGGCAACCCUGAUCCAGCCAUGCCGCGUGUGUGAAGAAGGCCUUUUGGUUGUAAAGCACUUUAAGCAGUGAAGAAGACUCUAUGGUUAAUACCCAUAGACGAUGACAUUAGCUGCAGAAUAAGCACCGGCUAACUCUGUGCCAGCAGCCGCGGUAAUACAGAGGGUGCAAGCGUUAAUCGGAAUUACUGGGCGUAAAGCGAGCGUAGGUGGCUUGAUAAGUCAGAUGUGAAAGCCCCGGGCUUAACCUGGGAACGGCAUCUGAUACUGUU